rnacentral:tRNA from 1 species
GAGGGUAUAGCUCAGUGGUGGAGUGAGUGCUCAGCAUACAUGAGGUCUUGGGUUCAAUUCCCAGUACCUCCA